UACGUAGGGGGCAAGCGUUGUCCGGAAUCACUGGGCGUAAAGGGUGCGUAGGCGGGUCUUUAAGUCAGGGGUGAAAUCCUGGAGCUCAACUCCAGAACUGCCUUUGAUACUGAAGAUCUUGAGUUCGGGAGAGGUGAGUGGAACUGCGAGUGUAGAGGUGAAAUUCGUAGAUAUUCGCAAGAACACCAGUGGCGAAGGCGGCUCACUGGCCCGAUACUGACGCUGAGGCACGAAAGCGUGGGGAGCAAACAGGG
rnacentral:rRNA from 1 species